rnacentral:rRNA from 1 species
GAUGAACGCUGGCGGCGUGCCUAAUACAUGCAAGUCGAGCGAACGGACGAGAAGCUUGCUUCUCUGAUGUUAGCGGCGGACGGGUGAGUAACACGUGGAUAACCUACCUAUAAGACUGGGAUAACUUCGGGAAACCGGAGCUAAUACCGGAUAAUAUUUUGAACCGCAUGGUUCAAAAGUGAAAGACGGUCUUGCUGUCACUUAUAGAUGGAUCCGCGCUGCAUUAGCUAGUUGGUAAGGUAACGGCUUACCAAGGCAACGAUGCAUAGCCGACCUGAGAGGGUGAUCGGCCACACUGGAACUGAGACACGGUCCAGACUCCUACGGGAGGCAGCAGUAGGGAAUCUUCCGCAAUGGGCGAAAGCCUGACGGAGCAACGCCGCGUGAGUGAUGAAGGUCUUCGGAUCGUAAAACUCUGUUAUUAGGGGAGAACAUAUGUGUAAGUAACUGUGCACAUCUUGACGGUACCUAAUCAGAAAGCCACGGCUAACUACGUGCCAGCAGCCGCGGUAAUACGUAGGUGGCAAGCGUUAUCCGGAAUUAUUGGGCGUAAAGCGCGCGUAGGCGGUUUUUUAAGUCUGAUGUGAAAGCCCACGGCUCAACCGUGGAGGGUCAUUGGAGACUGGAAAACUUGAGUGCAGAAGAGGAAAGUGGAAUUCCAUGUGUAGCGGUGAAAUGCGCAGAGAUAUGGAGGAACACCAGUGGCGAAGGCGACUUUCUGGUCUGUAACUGACGCUGAUGUGCGAAAGCGUGGGGAUCAAACAGG